rnacentral:rRNA from 1 species
UACGUAGGGUCCGAGCGUUGUCCGGAAUUAUUGGGCGUAAAGAGCUCGUAGGCGGUUUGUCGCGUCUGCUGUGAAAUCCCGAGGCUCAACCUCGGGCCUGCAGUGGGUACGGGCAGACUGGAGUGAUGUAGGGGAGACUGGAAUUCCUGGUGUAGCGGUGAAAUGCGCAGAUAUCAGGAGGAACACCGAUGGCGAAGGCAGGUCUCUGGGCAUUAACUGACGCUGAGGAGCGAAAGCAUGGGGAGCGAACAGG